GUUUCCGUAGUGUAGUGGUUAUUACGUGAGUCUCACACACUCAAGGUCACCGGUCCGAAUCCGGGCGGAAACA